GAUGAACGCUGGCGGCGUGCCUAAUACAUGCAAGUCGAGCGAACAGACGAGGAGCUUGCUCCUCUGACGUUAGGGGCGGACGGGUGAGUAACACGUGGAUAACCUACCUAUAAGACUGGGAUAACUUCGGGAAACCGGAGCUAAUACCGGAUAAUAUAUUGAACCGCAUGGUUCAAUAGUGAAAGACGGUUUUGCUGUCACUUAUAGAUGGAUCCGCGCCGCAUUAGCUAGUUGGUAAGGUAACGGCUUACCAAGGCAACGAUGCGUAGCCGACCUGAGAGGGUGAUCGGCCACACUGGAACUGAGACACGGUCCAGACUCCUACGGGAGGCAGCAGUAGGGAAUCUUCCGCAAUGGGCGAAAGCCUGACGAAGCAACGCCGCGUGAGUGAUGAAGGUCUUCGGAUCGUAAAACUCUGUUAUUAGGGAAGAACAAAUGUGUAAGUAACUAUGCACGUCUUGACGGUACCUAAUCAGAAAGCCACGGCUAACUACGUG
rnacentral:rRNA from 1 species